UGGAAGACAUGUUGAGAGCUUGUACCAUGGACCUAGGUGGAGGCUGGGACGACCACAUACCUCUGGUAGAGUUUGCCUACAACAACAGUUACCAUUCCAGCAUCCAAAUGGCGCCAUAUGAAGCUCUAUAUGGAAGAAAAUGCCGAUCUCCUUUACAUUGGGAUGAGGUCGGAGAGCGAAAACUACUCGGUCCUGAAUUGGUCCAGAGUGCUAGAGAUAAGGUACUGCUAAUAACGCGGAGACUACAAGCCGCUCAGGACAGACAGAAACGAUGGGCUGACAAAGGCAGGAGGAAAUUGGAAUUUUUGGAGGGGAACUUUGUCUUCCUAAAAAUUUCUCCGUCAAGGGGUGUUACCCGAUUUGGGCGGCACGGUAAACUGAGUCCCCGCUACAUCGGCCCAUUCGAGGUUUUCGCUAAAGUGGGCAAGGUCGCCUACAAGCUGGCCCUACCUCCAGAGUUAUCAGGAGUACACGACGUCUUUCACGUCUCCCUCCUACGCAGGUACAUCCCAGAUCCCAGCCAUGUAUUAUAGUAUGAACCCUUGCAGAUAAAUGAAGACCUGACCUAUGAGGAAGCUCCUCUGCGCAUCGUCGAUAAGAAGGAGCAAAUUCUUCGGAGGCGUACCAUCCCUUAUGUCAAAAUUCAGUGGGCCAACCACACUAAACGGGAAGCCACCUGGGAACUUGAAGAGGAGAUGCGCCAAAGUUACCCCCAGCUCUUCAAAGAUAGAGGUAUGUAUAAUUUCGCGGACGAAAUUUAUUUUAAGGGGGGUAGGAUGUAAUGUCCGGGCCCACAACCUACUAGGCCCAAUAGGAAAUAGGCCCAGUUAAGGGUUUGGGCCCAAAUUUCACUGUGGGCAGUAUUAUUAUAAUGGCUAUCAGGAAGAGGUUGCCACCUCCUUCCUGCUCUGAAACGAAAGGAUAAGACCGACAGGGAAGGGUUACCUCACGCCCUAGACGGUAAGCCAGGCACCAUGGCAGAGCAGGGAGAGGUGGCUAGGGUCACCUCACGCCCCAGACGGUAAGCCAGGCACCAUGGCAGAGCAGGGAGAGGUGGCUAGGGUCACCUCACGCCCCAAGUGGUGAGCCAGGCACCAUGGCAGAGCAGGGGGCAGCUGUGAGUCCCGGAGCCAGAGGAUAAGGGAGGAUAAGGGGGAUGGGACUUCACAGAAGGAAAUCCCCAGCCAUGCAAACCCUGGGACGGUGACCUCACCCCUGCUGGCAGCCGA
rnacentral:lncRNA from 1 species